rnacentral:lncRNA from 1 species
GCCCCGGCGGAGCGGGAGGCGGCGGAGGGGCCGGGCCGGACCGGGCUCCCCGGGAGCCGCCGCGGGGUCCGCGCCCUCGGUGGGGGGGGGGACCCCAUGAUUCUCCCCCGGGUGCUCUCCUGUGCUGUUCUGCUCCUCCUGCUCGUGGCCGUGCUGAGCAGAGGCAAGAGGUGCAGCAUUGCCAAAAUCCUCCGGCAGUACCGUGCCGUCAUCUUCCACGAGAUCCAGAACCUGAAAAACUUAUCAGGGUCGGCAGACAGGAGUGGAAGGGUCAGACUUGCGUGUCGCUCGGACAAGGACCAGAAGAUCCUGCUCUCCAUCUACAACAUCAGCAUGUCCCUGCGGGAGGUGGCGGCUGGCACCCUGCGCGGCCCCGAGGAGCUGGCAGUGUGGAAGGUGGCCAGAAACACUGACUUCGUGUUCAGGGAGAACUGCAGGAAAAUCAGCAAGAGCCCGCUGCACGUCCCGGCACAGCCCCGGCCUGGGGGUCCUGGCCGCAGGAGGAAGCAGCUGCGGGAGAUUGGGAGGAAGGCAGAGAAGCUGGCGACCUGCUGGGAGAAGCUCUACGCCCUGCACGCACCCCACCGUGCCCCCCGGGACUCGUAGGGACGCCCUCGCCACGCGCCGGUGGGGGGAUGCGCUGCUCCGACACCGCGGCUGCCGGCAUCUUGUUUGUGGAAACCUGGGGAAAAUUCAACCCUGGAGGCAGCGGAGUCAUUCCUCCCGUUUCAAGCGGUACCUGGGGACGGGCCCCAUCGCCCGUGGUGGGGGCUGGCGGGGUUGGUUUGGCUGCUCAGGAAGCUGGGACACCAGAAACACGCGGGAGAAGAAGGGGAAGAGCUGAAAAAAGGAGUCGAGGUGUUGGAUUUCUGCCAUGCUCCUGGCCCCGCGUCACCUGCUGCUUUCUUGGGGACAACGGUGGCUUUUGGGGGCAGGAAGAGGACAUGUGGGGCCACGGUUUGGAGGACUCUGCUGGAAGUGGGACCGUUGUGCAUUCGUAAAGCUCUGAGGGUGGCUGGGCUGCGGAGAGGGACGUGUGUCCCCCGUGCACUGCUGGGACCUGUGGUGGCCAGGGAAGCUGGGGUGCAUCCAGAGGGGCUGUGGGAAGUCUGGGGAGUGCUGGUGCCCCCCCGAGAAGCAGCAAAAGCCCAGGCAGCUGUGGGGGCUUGAGACCAAGGCUUGAACCAGAGGGACCCAGCUGCCUGGCACUGCAGGUGCCCCAGAUCCCCCUGGUGACUUGAGUCCUGAGGGACAUGGGGUUCGUUGAGCUGAGGAGCAUCCUUCUUCAUCCCUGCGUUCUGCCAGUGCCCUGGCCGGGGUCCCUGCUCCCCCCUCGGGUGGCAAACAGUCUCUGGGAAGCCAGAAAUAAACCCCUUCCUUCCCUGGAAGCCCUUUGGGUG